GCACGGAGAGACCGAAACCCUUCGAAAUUUCGUGGCCCGAUUCAAUGCAGCCAUACUUGAGGUCAGGGACCUCAACGAAGACAUGACCAUAUUGGUCAUGAAAAGAGGUCUGAGGGGUCUCGAUUCACGUACUCUUUGGACAAGACCCUCCCCCGAACUUAUGCCGAACUUUUGGAGCAUGCCUACAAGCAUAUGCGCACGAACGAAGGAGCUUCUGACCAACGUCAAACAGAAGGUAAGGGUCAGAAGAUGAAGAAACAAAAGAAGGGAGAAGCUUCG
rnacentral:lncRNA from 1 species